rnacentral:rRNA from 1 species
UACGUAGGGUGCGAGCGUUGUCCGGAAUUACUGGGCGUAAAGAGCUCGUAGGCGGUUUGUCGCGUCGUCUGUGAAAACUCGAGGCUCAACCUCGAGCUUGCAGGCGAUACGGGCAGACUUGAGUACUGCAGGGGAGACUGGAAUUCCUGGUGUAGCGGUGAAAUGCGCAGAUAUCAGGAGGAACACCGGUGGCGAAGGCGGGUCUCUGGGCAGUAACUGACGCUGAGGAGCGAAAGCGUGGGUAGCGAACAGG